AGUAGCAGAUAUGUGGAAAGAAUAAGUGUGGAGAUCUAAUAUACAACAUGAGGACUCUAGGCACCCCAGUUGAUAAAUAGCAGAAUUGGAAUUUAAACAGGCCUGGUGACCCAAAAACUUGACUCUAUAUCUUACCCUGAAGAAAUAUGCAAGUGAUAUCAAGCCUGAUAUUGAAACUUUAGUCCACUUCAUCAGACUUUGGAAAAAAACGUGACACUCAACAUAGCAGGUGCCCUAGACAAUGACGGAAUCUCGUUGAAAGCUCUUUAAGCUGAAAUUAAUUUAUGCUCGACAGUGAUUAAAAGAGAAAGUGAGAAGGGGAUGGAAAUUAACAAAUCCAUCUUUAUUGCUGAGAUCCCAUUAUGAUUAUAAGGAGAGAGAAAAAUCAACGUGGCGGGUGCCAGCUGCAAUCUGAUGACCUUUCAUCUUAUUUCUCAUCUGCUGGUCCCAUCAACCCUAACUUUGUAUCUGCUAAAACUCAGGGAAGAGUGGCUUAUUUAAUUGGUGAAUUUUAGAGAAGAAAUUGAGAAUGUCUGCUACUUUUCAUCCCUCCUGAAACUACUACUAUUUUUAGAGGUGCCUAACAUGUUGACCUGCUCUUUGUCUUCUGAAUCUAAUUGGAAACCAUCUUGGAACACACAUGUUGUAUAAAAUGAGAUACCACUAUCUGCAUCUUGUGCCUUUUGUAACAAUAUAAUAAAAUUGUCAUAUAUUGAUUGCCGGAAUCAAUACCAGGACAUUUACAUACAUUUUCUGAUUUAACUUUUGUAAUAUGGGCAGUCAUUUUGAUUCUAUCGGUCAGGAAGUGGUGACUCAAGAAAGGAAGUAAUUUGCCUAAAAUUACAGGACUGGACCCAGACUUUCAGAUCCCAACAUCUUUAUACUUAAAAAAAAAUUCAUCUAUACUCUGUGUGUUCUAUUUUAGUAUAUGUUAUUAGAAAAUAACAGUAAUUCUCUCUCUCUCUCUCUCUGCCUCUGUGUGUGUGUGUGACACAGAGGAACUAAAUAGAAUGAUAGGAAUGCAGCAUCUGGCCACAUCUCAGGGAUGUUAAAUGAGAAUCUACAUUUUAACAAAAUGUCUAGUUAAUCCCUAUUUAUAUUAAAAUGAGAAACACUGAGUUAGAUAAGAUUACCCUUAUGUUACAGAUCAAAAUCCUCAGAAACAAAAAGUUUUCCAGCUCAGAUUGUGAAGAUCUUCUCAAGUUUUGUCAAGCAAUUGGGACAGUAAGUAUAGCAAAGGUAGAGGCGGGUAUUAAUGAUUACUAACUGUCUGCUUCAUUGAGCUCAUUGCAACAGUAGAUGGAGAAUACUGGAGAAGAGAAUAUAAUCAGCCCCCCAUACCCAUGGGUUCCACAUUCGUGGAUUCAAUCAACUUUGGAUCAAAAAUUUAAAAAAAAACAUGACAAUAAAAAACAACACAAAUCUUAAAAACAAUAAAGCUUAACAAUUAUUUACAUAGCAUUUAUAUUAGGUAUUGUAAGUAAUCUGG
rnacentral:lncRNA from 10 species